GUCGAAUGCUGGCGGCGUGUCUAAGGCAUGCAAGUCGAACGAUCCCUUCGGGGAUAGUGGCAAACGGGAGAGUAACACAUUGGUAACUUACCCUGAACUCGCGAACAACCCAUGGAAACGUGGGCUAAUACGCGAUAUCGAUGGGGGACGCAAGUCAUUCCACUUGAAAGUUACCGACGGUUCAGGAGAGGCCUAUGUCCUAUCAGCUAGUUGGUGAGGUAAAAGACUCACCAAGGCUACGACGGGUACCGGGCGUGAGAGCGUGACCGGCUCACUGGGACUGAGACACUGCCCAGACUCCUACGGGAGGCUGCAGUCGAGAAUCUUCCGCAAUGCACGAAAGUGUGACGGAGCGACGCCGCGUGUCGGAUGAAGGCC
rnacentral:rRNA from 1 species